UCAAAAAUGUAUCAAACAAGUGCUCAACUAUCAACGAUGUAACCUGUAAAAAUUUAUGUCAGGUGCCACUAAGGUCGAUGCAUACUUGACGAAUUUUGCAAAUUAAACUUUCAUAUUGAGCAAGUGUCUUACUCCAUAAAUUCUCUCUCCUUUUGUACUCGGACCGUUCAAGGAAAGUUGUUGUUGCUAAAUGAUUUUUUGAACAUGGUCCAAGGGUAGGGUUUGAGAUUCUCAUCGCUUUCUUCUCUUUUUAAGCUACCAAUCAUAAGCCCUACCUGAAUGUCAACUUAUUAGCUUUACUACUUCUUAGCAAGUCAAACGUACGCUCACAUACAGUAGUUUGGCGUAAACAAGUAUAUAUGCAUACGUCUUUCAAUAUUUUACCACAGUGCCAAAAUAUAGCUUGGCGCAAAAAGAAGAUUUAGAUUACUGCGAUUGAUCCAAUCUCAUCCUAUCUAUCAUAUAGAUUAGCUUUUACCAGCUUUCAUUAUAAAUUAAUAAAAGGCAGGCAGGCUCACCAUCUCAUCUUGCAUGCAUGAUCUCUAUAUGAAAAUGGCGGC
rnacentral:lncRNA from 1 species